UGGGGGAUAUUGCACAAUGGGCGAAAGCCUGAUGCAGCGACGCCGCGUGGGGGAUGAAGGCUUUCGGGUUGUAAACCUCUUUCGCUAUCGAACAAGGCCCGCUUAGGGUGGGUUGAGGGUAGGUGGAGAAGAAGCGCCGGCUAACUACGUGCCAGCAGCCGCGGUAAUAAGUAGGGCGCGAGCGUUGUCCGGAAUUAUUGGGCGUAAAGGGCUUGUAGGCGGCUUGUUGCGCCUGCUGUGAAAACGCGGGGCUUAACUUCGCGCGUGCAGUGGGUACGGGCAGGCUUGAGUGUGGUAGGGGUGACUGGAAUUCCAGGUGUAGCGGUGGAAUGCGCAGAUAUCUGGAGGAACACCGAUGGCGAAGGCAGGUCACUGGGCCAUUACUGACGCUGAGGAGCGAAAGCAUGGGUAGCAAACAGG
rnacentral:rRNA from 1 species